GACGAACGCUGGCGGCGUGCUUAACACAUGCAAGUCGAACGAUGAACUUGGAGCUUGCUCUGGGGGAUUAGUGGCGAACGGGUGAGUAACACGUGAGUAACCUGCCCUGGACUCUGGGAUAACUUCGAGAAAUCGGAGCUAAUACCGGAUAGGACCUUGCACCGCAUGGUGUGGGGUGGAAAGGUUUUCGGUUUGGGAUGGACUCGCGGCCUAUCAGCUUGUUGGUGAGGUAAUGGCUUCCCAAGGCGCCGACGGGUAGCCGGCCUGGGAGGGUGACCGGCCACACUGGGACUGAGACACGGCCCAGACUCCUACGGGAGGCAGCAGUGGGGAAUAUUGCACAAUGGGCGCAAGCCUGAUGCAGCAACGCCGCGUGCGGGAUGACGGCCUUCGGGUUGUAAACCGCUUUUAGCAGGGAAGAAGCCUUCGGGUGACGGUACCUGCAGAAAAAGGACCGGCUAACUACGUGCCAGCAGCCGCCGUAAAAC
rnacentral:rRNA from 1 species